UGGAAGCGUCUGGAAAGGCGCGCGAUACAGGGUGACAGCCCCGUACACAAAAAUACACAUAUUGUGAGCUCGAUGAGUAGGGCGGGACACGUGGUAUCCUGUCUGAAUAUGGGGGGACCAUCCUCCAAGGCUAAAUACUCCUGACUGACCGAUAGUGAACCAGUACCGUGAGGGAAAGGCGAAAAGAACCCCGGCGAGGGGAGUGAAAAAGAACCUGAAACCGUGUACGUACAAGCAGUGGGAGCACGCUUAGGCGUGUGACUGCGUACCUUUUGUAUAAUGGGUCAGCGACUUAUAUUCUGUAGCAAGGUUAACCGAAUAGGGGAGCCGAAGGGAAACCGAGUCUUAACUGGGCGUUAAGUUGCAGGGUAUAGACCCGAAACCCGGUGAUCUAGCCAUGGGCAGGUUGAAGGUUGGGUAACACUAACUGGAGGACCGAACCGACUAAUGUUGAAAAAUUAGCGGAUGACUUGUGGCUGGGGGUGAAAGGCCAAUCAAACCGGGAGAUAGCUGGUUCUCCCCGAAAGCU
rnacentral:rRNA from 1 species